rnacentral:rRNA from 1 species
GACGGAGGAUGCAAGUGUUAUCCGGAAUCACUGGGCGUAAAGCGUCUGUAGGUUGUUUAAUAAGUCAACUGUUAAAUCUUAAAGCUUAACUUUGAAAUCGUAGUUGAAACUAUUAGACUCGAGUAUAGUAGGGGUAAAGGGAAUUUCCAGUGGAGCGGUGAAAUGCGUAGAGAUUGGAAAGAACACCGAUGGCGAAGGCACUUUACUUGGCUAUUACUGACACUCAGAGACGAAAGCUAGGGUAGCAAAUGGG